rnacentral:rRNA from 1 species
AACGAACGCUGGCGGCAGGCUUAACACAUGCAAGUCGAACGGGUGUAGCAAUACAUCAGUGGCAGACGGGUGAGUAACACGUGGGAACCUUCCUCGUUGUACGGAACAACUCAGGGAAACUUGAGCUAAUACCGUAUACGUCCGAGAGGAGAAAGAUUUAUCGCAAUGAGACGGGCCCGCGUCGGAUUAGCUAGUUGGUGGGGUAACGGCCUACCAAGGCAACGAUCCGUAGCUGAUCUGAGAGGAUGAUCAGCCACACUGGGACUGAGACACGGCCCAGACUCCUACGGGAGGCAG